GCCCAUAUGGUCUAGCGGUAAGAUCCCCCGUUCGGGCUGUCAAGUCCUCCGCUUUGCGGACAAUAUUCGGGGGGGUCCUGAGUUCAAUCCUCAGUGUGGGCC